AAUAAGUACAGUUUUGUACUAUUCAUGUCCAACGUUUAACCGUUCGUCUUAUUUAAAAAAAUUAUGAUUAGUAUUUUUGUUGUUAUUAGAUAAUAAAACAUUAAUAGUACUUUAUGUGUGACUAAUUUAUUUUAAAAAAAUUCAUAAAUUUUUCAAAAAGACGAACGGUCAAAUGUUGGACACGGAAACCCACGGAUGCACUUAUC
rfam:Oryza punctata chromosome 6, whole genome shotgun sequence.